GGUGUGGUGUAGCUCAGCCAGGUAGAGCGUGGAAAGCGUUCAUAGCGUAUCCGGUACGCGCUGGUUCAAUUCCAGCCACCACACCACCA
rnacentral:tRNA from 1 species